AGAUUAAGCCAUGCAUGUCUCAGUAUAAGCAACUUGUAUGUGUGAAACUGCGAAUGGCUCAUUAAAUCAGUCAUAAUUUAUUUGAUAGUGAUUUACUACAUGGAUAGCCGUAGUAAUUCUAGAGCUAAUACAUGCAUAAAGGCCCGACUCGCGAGGGAAGGGUUGUGUUUAUUAGAUCGAAAACCAAUGUUGGGGAAGGGGUUUUAACCGGCUUCUUUUCCAAAUUUUUUUGGUGAGUCAUGAUAAAUGUCGAAUCGAACUUUUGUUCGAUGUGUCAUUCAAAUUUCUGCCCUAUCAGACUUUGAUGGUAGGAUAGGGGCCUACCAUGGUAUUGACGGGUAAUGGAGGAUUAGGGUUCGAUUCCGGAGAGGGAGCCUGAGAAAUGGCUACUACUUCUAAGGAAGGCAGCAGGCGCGCAAAUUACCCAAUCCCAAUUAUAUUGGGGAGGUAGUGACAAAAAAUAUCGAUGCUCGGGGCUAUGCCUCGGUAAUUGAAAUGGUUUGGAAGUAAAUUGUCCAUGGAGCAGCCGUUAGAGGGCAAGUCUGGUGCCAGCAGCCGCGGUAAUUCCAGCUCUAAUAGUGUAUACUAAAAUUGCUGCAGUUAAAAAGCUCGUAGUUGGAUUUUGGGUGGAGCAGUAUACCGUUAUGUGCUGAUAGUGUUGUUGUAUGCCUGCCUGUUUCUGAAGGGGGUAUGCGACGUGCUUUUAGUCAUAAUGGUUGUUCCGUCCGUUUUUUUUAUAAAAUAUUUUCGAAAUUGGCUCAUCCCCUUCAUUGGGCUUGAUGGGUCAAGUUCGGAUUUUUUACUUUGAAGAAUUUGUAGUGUUUAAAGCAGGCGUUUCGCAGCUGAACACAUUAGCAUGGAAUAAUAAAAUAGGACAUCUGAGCGUUGUUUCCUACCUGUUUUUUCCCUUUCUAUUCUUUUUGGGGGGAAAGGUUUGAGGGUGAGGGUUAUGCUCUCUUUUCGGGGAGUGUUUCUCUUCCUUUUUCUUUUUUCCUCCAUGGAUUCUGAGGGAGGGCGGGAUUGAAGGGCUUCGCUAUCAUUUUUAGUAUAUCUAUUUUGUCGGUUUUUGGAGAGGGUGUAAUGAUUAAUAGGGACAGUUGGGGGCAUCCGUAUUGCAUUGUCAGAGGUGAAAUUCUUGGAUUUAUGCAAGACGAACUAAUGCGAAAGCAUUUGCCAAGGAUGUUUUCAUUAAUCAAGAACGAAAGUUAGGGGAUCGAAGGCGAUCAGAAACCGCCGUAGUCUUAACUAUAAACUAUACCAACUAGGGAUUGGGGAGUGUCUAAAUAAACGGCCUCGUCAGCACCUUUAGAGAAAUCACAAGUCUCUGGGUUCUGGGGGGAGUAUGGUCGCAAGGCUGAAACUUAAAGAAAUUGACGGAAGGGCACCACCAGGUGUGGAGCCUGCGGCUUAAUUCGACUCAACACGGGGAAACUCACCAGGUCCAGACACGGGAAGGAUUGACAGAUUGAUAGCUCUUUCUUGAUUCUGUGGGUGGUGGUGCAUGGUCGUUCUUAGUUGGUGGAGUGAUUUGUCUGGUUAAUUCCGAUAACGAACGAGACCUUAACCUGCCAAAUAGCUCAGUGAUAAGAAUUACUUUUAUCACUUUUUUACAUGAGCCUCUUGGAGGGACUACCAUGGUUGCACAUGGUGGAAGCUUGAGGCAAUAACAGGUCUGUGAUGCCCUUAGAUGUCCUGGGCCGCACGCGCGCUACAAUGAUGCAUUCAGCAAGCUUUUUUACUAGCUUGCGCGAAAGCGUCGGCCAAUCUUGUGAAAAUGCAUCGUGCCUGGGGAUUGAUCCUUGUAAUUUUCGAUCGUGAACCAGGAAUACCUAGUAAGUGCGGCUCAUCACGCCGCGCUGAUUACGUCCCUGCCCUUUGUACACACCGCCCGUCGCUCCUACCGAUUGAAUGAUCCGACGAAACGCCCGGAGGGGUGUGGGGUGGGCAACCAUCCUUCGUCCUGAAGGGUAGUGAAUCUUAUCAUUUAGAGGAAGGAGAAGUCGUAAC
rnacentral:rRNA from 1 species